rnacentral:lncRNA from 1 species
AAUAUACUCUACAUUAAAGAAAGUCUAAGCUAAAAUAUCCAGCUUCUUCUGCUGCUUCCGUCUUUGCUUGAAACAUGAACACAACAGAAAGAGAAAGCUGGGACAUAUAAACACUGGAUCGUUUUACAGAAGAGGAACAACUCCCAUACAUUUAGAUCCUUAGGAUAUAAGAUAGAUUUUUAUACAUCCCUCUUACUCCCUUGAAGUAAAGGACAGCCAACACUCCAAACUAAAUGUCUCUUGUGACCCUGAAGUAAUUUCCUAGAUUUGAUGUUGCCAAAUGCAAAGCCCAAAAUUGCAUUUUUUCUCCUCCUCUGAUUCUCAACAAAGCAGACAUUUGUCACUCACUACUUCACUGUCUCAGAAGCAUAUACUCAACCAUGCUGAAUUCUUGCAAAUUCCCUUUAAAGGCACCUUAAAGUGAGCCUUGCAACCUGAAUGACUCAUCACUCAUCUAGUGCCACACUGGGACUUAUUCAGACAGUAUCUUCCUACAGACAGUGCAUAGCCC